CGGUGUCCGAGUGGUCAAGGAGAUGCCCUGCUAAGGCAUUGUGCUUUGCACGCGCGGGUUCGAAUCCCGUCUGA
rnacentral:ncRNA from 11 species